AGAAAGAACUAACAGGAUUCCCCUAGUAACUGCGAGUGAAGCGGGAAAAGCUCAAAUUUAAAAUCUGGCGGUCUUUGGCCGUCCGAGUUGUAGUCUGGAGAAGUGCUUUCCGCGCUGGACCGUGUAUAAGUUCUUCUUGGAAGCAGAGCGUCAUAGAGGGUGAGAAUCCCGUCUUUGACACGGACUACCAGUGCUUUGUGAUGCGCUCUCAAAGAGUCGAGUUGUUUGGGAAUGCAGCUCAAAAUGGGUGGUGAAUUCCAUCUAAAGCUAAAUAUUGGCGAGAGACCGAUAGCGAACAAGUACCGUGAGGGAAAGAUGAAAAGCACUUUGGAAAGAGAGUUAAACAGUACGUGAAAUUGCUGAAAGGGAAACGCUUGAAGUCAGUCGCGUCGGCCGGAACUCAGCCUUGCUUUUGCUUGGUGCACUUUCCGGUUGACGGGCCAGCAUCGAUUUUGACCGUCGGAAAAGGGCUAGAGUAAUGUGGCACCUCCGGGUGUGUUAUAGACUCUAGUCGCAUACGGCGGUUGGGAUCGAGGAACGCAGCGCGCCGCAAGGCAGGGGUUCGCCCACUUUCGCGCUUAGGAUGCUGGCAUAAUGGCUUUAAACGACCCGUCUUGAAACACGGACCAAGGAGUCUAACAUACCUGCGAGUGUUUGGGUGGAAAACCCGAGCGCGUAAUGAAAGUGAAAGUUGGGACCUCUGUCGUGGAGGGCACCGACGCCCGGACCUGACGUUCUCUGACGGAUCCGCGGUAGAGCAUGUAUGUUGGGGACCCGAAAGAUGGUGAACUAUGCCUGAAUAGGGUGAAGCCAGAGGAAACUCUGGUGGAGGCUCGUAGCGAUUCUGACGUGCAAAUCGAUCGUCAAAUUUGGGUAUAGGGGCGAAAGACUAAUCCGAACCCUU
rnacentral:rRNA from 1 species